ACGGCUGAGUAACGCGUGGGUGACGGUACCUGUUAGUGGGGAAUAACUGCCCGAAAGGGUGGCUAAUUCCGCAUACGCCCAGUUUUCGUUGGACUGGGGAAAGCCUUGCAAAAGGCGCUAAUGGAGCGGCCGCGUUCGAUUAGCUGGUUGGUGGGGUAACGGCCUACCAAGGCGACGAUCGAUAGCUGGUCUGAGAGGAUGAUCAGCCACAUUGGGACUGAGACACGGCCCAA
rnacentral:rRNA from 1 species